AGCCAUAUGGCUAUCUUACACGCCUGAGAGAGUGAUAGGUGAAAUCUGAAUGCAUGUAUUUUGAUUGGUCAAAAAUAAAACCUCCUACACGCCUAGAAGAGGCAAGAAUCAACCAAAAUGCCUUGCUGCCUUGGGAACUGAUUAGUAAUCAGCGAUGUGUUCUCCUCUUCCUCCCCUCAAAGCCGUGACUCCAUGAGGAGCAUACCAUUCUGCCUUCCUUGAUUCCAGGUACAAAGACCAUCAUCAACAGUAGACUAGACGUCUUCUUUUAAUUCAAAAAUCAAACCUAACCAACCCUUUCCUCAAGCCGUGAACCAUAUCAAGAAAGAAUCAUAGAAUGCAUGUUAAAUUCCUUCCAAAAUCUGCACCAAAAACCGUGAGCUAUUGAGAGGAGAAAUAUCAUCCAAGCUUCCUUCUUGUUCUCCUCACUGAUUCGGCAAUGAACCAUAGCCCAGGGACUGCCACAUGAAACCAUCCUUCACUCUUUUCUGUUGUUCGGUUGAAGGGAAACUUCAAGGAGGUCCAGCAAUGGUUGGGCUAUUCCUCCCAUUACAUGCGGCUAAAGGCACGGUUCUUACUAGGGAAAAUUGUCAUCCUAAGUUCUGCACUAUCCUCCAUUACACGCUAGAACAAGUGGUGAUGAUUCUCCAAAAUUUGGUGACUGUUUUCUGCAUCUAUUUUAAGAGAAACAUGGUUGCGUGGAAGAAGGCUCUUAAAACUCAAGGAUGUUUGAUGGACUUGGGGCUGUUUUGAUUAGAAAGCUAAAGUAUCAGGAGGACUUAGAAGCAUUUGAGGAAGUGUUUGAUGACAUGAUUACAUGACAAUUCUGUUAAGUUAUGUUGUUGACAACAUUGCUGUUUGCUCGUUGUCUCUGUUGAGUGUAUUCUGAAUAUUUGACCUUGAUGUAGUUUCUUAAAGAAUGCAUGCCAUGAUGUAUAUUCUGUUUUUAAAAGAAGUGUAGCAUGAUGUUUAUCAUUCUGGUAAUUUGUUUGCGAAAAGAAUUGCGGUUGUAGUUAAAUUCGGAUUUUUGAACUGUUUUUGCGAGCACUUUGCGAGUUGUCGUUCUGGGGCUACAGACCUCCGAAUGAGGUAUAAUUCAUAUGUACGUAAAUUCCCAGUUGUGUACUUUCAGAUUAUAUAAACUUUACAAUGAAAUUCUGAAAUUCCGAUUUAUUAUGAAUUUUACAAGUGAGGAGGUUUCUGGAAAAAUACAAUGAAUUUUCAAGUACCUUGCGAGUUCUGUUUCGUGGGGCUAUUCACCUCUGAUUCGCUUAUAAUUUAUAUGUACGCGAAGCCCCAGAUGUCUAAUUUCUAUACAUCAAAGAAUAUUUUCUUAAGCUGUUGAUUUCGAAUUUACAUGAUUUUGCAAGACAGGCUGUUUUCAAGAAAAAUCAGAGUUGCGCAGCGAAAGCCUUUCCAAAAAUUUACUUGCUGCUUUUAUUUUGUGAAGUCAGUUUUCCAAGCAAGAUUUUAAUUGGUAACAUCAAAUUGCUUUUAGCAAUACAAGAAUUUUACACGUCAACGUUACGUGUCUAAUCAGUUUUAGCAAACUCUUCCCUUGGAUGCAUACAAGGGAGGGUGCCACAUACAAUGUAUUGUAUAUUAUGUAUCUGACUGUCAUGCAAGAAGUGGGCCAGGGUAUAGAGAGUUUUUUAUAAACCUGGAGCUUACUGGAGAUUCGUCUCUCACCCCGUUUGGGCAUAUGAUUUCAUGU